CUCGGCAAGAACGACCGCUCCAUGGAUAUCGAGACGAUUUCCUCGGGCUCGCUGGGGCUGGACAUCGCGCUGGGCAUCGGUGGCUUGCCCAAGGGGCGGGGGAUCGAGAUUUACGGGCCGGGAUCCUCCGGCAAGACAACGCUGGCGCUGCACUGCGUGGCUGAGGCCCAGAAGAAGGGCGGCAUCUGCGCCUUCAUCGAUGCCGAACACGCGCUCGACCCGGUCUAU
rnacentral:misc_RNA from 1 species